rnacentral:rRNA from 1 species
AUUGAACGCUGGCGGAAUGCUUUACACAUGCAAGUCGAACGGCAGCACGGGGGCAGCCCUGGUGGCGAGUGGCGAACGGGUGAGUAAUACAUCGGAACGUGCCCGGUCGUGGGGGAUAACGUAGCGAAAGUUACGCUAAUACCGCAUACGAUCUGAGGAUGAAAGCGGGGGACCUUCGGGCCUCGCGCGAUCGGAGCGGCCGAUGUCAGAUUAGGUAGUUGGUGGGGUAAAGGCCUACCAAGCCGACGAUCUGUAGCUGGUCUGAGAGGACGACCAGCCACACUGGAACUGAGACACGGCCCAGACUCCUACGGGAGGCAGCAGUGGGGAAUUUUGGACAAUGGGCGCAAGCCUGAUCCAGCCAUUCCGCGUGCAGGACGAAGGCCUUCGGGUUGUAAACUGCUUUUGUACGGAACGAAAAGGCUCUGGCUAAUACCUGGGGCUCAUGACGGUACCGUAAGAAUAAGCACCGGCUAACUACGUG